CAGGCGGUAUUCUGAACGAAGCUGCACUGUCGCAAUUAAACCAAAGCUUUUUGUCAAGGAAUGAAUGACGCAUUCUGCUCUGAGCCGUAGGGACCGAGACAGAAGG
rfam:Paenibacillus sp. 1DrF-4 scaffold33, whole genome shotgun sequence.